rnacentral:lncRNA from 1 species
CUCUUUUAAAAGCUGUCAAGCAGUAUUUUGCCUCCCUGGAAAAAAAAUGUCCACAUAUCCCAUUCCUGCUGUUCAGCAGCAGCAGCAGCCUGGAAUGGACACCCAGGAAGUUCAACUGAGUGGAGCAGGUUCAAAAAGCAUUUAUUUAACUGAAGGUCUAAUUCUCACCACCCUUCUGCCUGUGGCUUGGCAUCCCUACUGAAUGUAAUAGAAUUGGCUGCCUUCUUCUGCAUGAAGAAAACAUUCUCUAUGGCCUUUUACUUCCAUUACUUCCUCUUUUUUUUGGAGGAAGAAUCAAAAACCAUUUGCAAUGAUUAUACAGAAUGGACAUAAUACUCUCUUGGCAGGGCUAGCUGUAAGGCUUUCACAGACUGCAGCACCCUGGAUCCAUUCCUGAUCUACUCAGCCUGUAUGAAACUAUAUUUGUGUCCCAACGUGGUCCUACACAAAUGGCAGGAAGAUUUCCUCACUUUUACUUUGGGAGGAGAUACGACUUUGCUGCUGGAAAUAGACUGAAUAUUGCAAUCACAGGAAAUAAUGACACAUCAAAAUAGAUCUUAAAAUUUUGUAAACUGUCUAAAGGAAAUACCAAAUCUGGCCUGGAAAUAAAGAGUUUCUGGAUCAGUGUUAGUGAACA